AUUGAACGCUGGCGGCAGGCCUAACACAUGCAAGUCGAACGGAGUGGCGGACGGGUGAGUAAUGUCUGGGAAACUGCCUGAUGGAGGGGGAUAACUACUGGAAACGGUAGCUAAUACCGCAUACUAUCAGAUGAGCCUAUGUGGGAUUAGCUAGUUGGUGGGGUAAAGGCCUACCAAGGCGACGAUCCGUAACUGGUCUGAGAGGAUGAUCAGUCACACUGGAACUGAGACACGGUCCAGACUCCUACGGGAGGCAGCAGUGGGGAAUAUUGGACAAUGGGCGCAAGCCUGAUGCAGCCAUGCCGCGUGUGUGAAGAAGGUCUUCGGGUUGUAAAGCACUUUAAGUUGGGAGGCGUUACCAGCAGAAUAAGCACCGGCUAACUUCGUGCCAGCAGCCGCGGUAAUAC
rnacentral:rRNA from 1 species